GGCGUCCCAGUAAGAGUUGCUUGUCCGGUGACAAAUCCUCUUCAAUCAGCUGUUUGUAAGUGCUUGUCAUUUAAGCCGACAUGUUUAUGGCUGUUUAGGAGAGAUCUUGUGAAAUGGUAUUAUAGGUUGAUUCUCCAGCCAGAAGCAUUUUAUACUUACGGCAUGGUGUAGAGAUCUGUACCGGUUGGAACCUAUCCAAUGGUCGAGAACUUCAAGAAGCGCAAGACCGUUAUUAUUCCUGGUUCUGACUCGCUAAUCGUGUUAAAAUUUUAUUCUGUACGUACUAGCAUAUAUACUAAUAAUGUUAGAAUUACUAACCUUUGAUGUUAACUAAGGACUACAAUGAAAAACCCGGAAAAAUAAAUAAAUCAACAACUAACAUUAUGUGAAACAAUCCAUUCAAAAGUUCCAGUAUUUGUAAACUAAUCUAGUACAAACUAAUAAAUAUAGUUUCAUCAAAAUAUAACACUUUAAUAAUAUUGUAUCUAUACAAAAUCCAUGGUUUGAUAAUAUCAGAUAUGCUUUAUGGCGAUAACAAACGAGGAAAAGUGAACCAAUCAUGAACCAAUCAAGAAGGGAUUUAUAUAAUUAUAUAGUUGGUAAUUAAUUAUAGAUAUCGGUGGUAGUUUAGUAUGGGCUGAAGAGAAUGAUUUGUUUCCUCUCAAGUAUAAUGAAGAUAAUAUUGAACGGUCAACAUCCGACAAAAUGAAUAGGAUAAAAUAUACUGAAAGUUCCAUUGACCACUUCAACAAACGGGUUAUCCAAGAACUUAUAGAAAGUUGUGUAAAGAAGUCGAAUUUACAUAAUGAAAUUGAAUUUAAAGCACCAAAAGUAAAUUUACAACAAGAAGCACAACUAGCAAAACGACAAAUUACAACAAUGGAUUUGCAAAAAAAAUAUACAGAUUCUAUGUCCACUCAACAACAACAGUAGGCCUACUCUUGGCACGCAAGACGUAAAUUCAUAUUGUGUUAAGAUCGAACACAAGUUUAUGGCUAUUUCAAGUUAGAUUUGGCACUCCCGACAUGAAUUGGCUCACAAUCGUGUUCAGAUCGUCUUGUGUUACAAAUUGGUUCUAACUUGUGUUGCAUGUGAGUCAAUUUUGACAGUUACUCUGUGAAAGAAUGAAUGAAAACGAAAAAAAAACAAAUUGUCAUUAAAAUUCUUGUUGUCAUGGCCGGUCGGUGGAUUUUCAUAAUAAGUAACAACUUAAAAAGUUUAAAAACCAAUAUUAUGAGUUCCGCAACUCGGCCGUCAUACCGCCAGACGAAAUUACUUGUAGAAAGUUAGUAACCCUGGAAUGGCCACGGGUCUUCUUAAGACCGACCAAGGGAAGUUAAAAUUAUGAAAAAAAUAGCAUCAAUGGCCUCGACCUUAAAUGCGCUCGGAGGGUCUUAAAAAGAUGGACUCCGCUGAUAUGCCUAAAACUGAGGCAUUCCAUGGUAAAUGGCAGGAUCAUAACAUACUUAAUGUCGAGGUGCAGCAUCCUGAACCCAUCAUACCCAGGCCUGAACUAUCAAGCCGCUCAGCUCAUCCUCACAGCACCUCACAGCGUAGAUCCAGCCGCCGCAACCAAGUUGAUGUAGAAGUAGACAGAGUGAUGGCCAUAGAGGAAAAGCAGGUAGAGGCCUAACUACUGACAGCAUGGGCUAAUGCCCUAAAGGGGACCUAGCAGAAGCUGUCCGUGAUGGAGUCAAUAUCCUCAUACAAAUUGUGCAAUAGUUAUCAAGAAAUAACAAAGUUAAGUCCAUCUAGUCCCAUAACCAGCAUUACUAGUUAUGCAGUAGUAGAUGAUGUGAUGAUUUAAGUAGAUUGUAUAUUAUUUUUCCUGUGACUAAAAAUAUUAUUUUAUAUUAAUACUUAUCCUAUGUCGAAGUAUAUGAACAUUUUUGUUUUAAGAAAUGUUAAAUAAUAUUAUAAAAAGUGUUCCUAUGUUAAUAUGUUCCUUAUAUUAUUAAGUUUGCAAGUAUUUCAACAGUGGUGGUGAAAUUAUUAUUCUACAAAAGUAUGUCUGUAUGAUUAUUAUAAAGAUAAAGAAUUCUGAAACUU